AAGCCUCAGAGCAGGCCGGGACACAGCACCAGCGCCCUGCCGUGGGUCCCAUGUGGCCAAGCGGGGUGCACACAAAGCCUCUUCUUCGUGCUGAGCUGGGCGUGGGAAGGCAUCAUGUGACGAGGCUGCACAGAACACGUGUGUCGUGCUGAGCUGGGCGUGGGAAGGCGUCACGUGACGAGGCUGCACAGAACACGUGUGUCGUGCUGAGCUGGGCGUGGGAAGGCGUCAUGUGACGAGGCUGCACAGAACAUGCGUGUGGUACUGAGCUGGGCGUGGGAAGGUGUCACGUGACAAGGCUGCACAGAACAUGUGUGUGGUACUGAGCUGGGCGUGGGAAGGCAUCAUGUGACAAGGCUGCACAGAACACGUGUGUCGUGCUGAGCUGGGCGUGGGAAGGCGUCAUGUGACGAGGCUGCACAGAACACGUGUGUCGUGCUGAGCUGGGCGUGGGAAGGCGUCAUGUGACGAGGCUGCACAGAACACGUGUGUCGUGCUGAGCUGGGCGUGGGAAGGCAUCAUGUGACAAGGCUGCACAGAACAUGCGUGUGGUACUGAGCUGGGCGUGGGAAGGCGUCACGUGACAAGGCUGUGCAGAACACGCGUGUGGUACUGAGCUGGGCGUGGGAAGGCGUCACGUGAUGAAGCUGCGCAGAACACGCGUG
rnacentral:lncRNA from 1 species